UACAGAGGUCCCAAGCGUUGUUCGGAUUCAUUGGGCGUAAAGGGUGCGUAGGCGGCGCGGUAAGUCGGGUGUGAAAUCUCGGUGCUUAACUCCGAAACUGCAUUCGAUACUGCCGUGCUUGAGGACUGGAGAGGAGACUGGAAUUUACGGUGUAGCGGUGAAAUGCGUAGAUAUCGUAAGGAAGACCAGUGGCGAAGGCGGGUCUCUGGACAGUUCCUGACGCUGAGGCACGAAGGCCAGGGGAGCAAACGGG
rnacentral:rRNA from 1 species